rnacentral:rRNA from 1 species
AUUGAACGCUGGCGGCAGGCCUAACACAUGCAAGUCGAGCGAGCGGCGGACGGGUGAGUAAUGUAUGGGGACUGCCCGAUAGAGGGGGAUAACUACUGGAAACGGUAGCUAAUACCGCAUACUAUCGGAUAACCCAUAUGGGAUUAGCUAGUAGGUGAGGUAAUGGCUCACCUAGGCGACGAUCCCUAGCUGGUCUGAGAGGAUGAUCAGCCAAACUGGGACUGAGACACGGUCCAGAUUCUGACGGCGGCAUCAGUGUUGCAGUUUCCGCAACGGGCGCAAACCUGGUGCAGCCAUGCUGCUAGUAGGACGAAGGUCAGAGGGUUGGACAGUACUUUCAGUGGUGAGGCGUUCCCGAAACCAGAAGCACCGGCUAACUCCGCGCCAGCAGCCGCGGUAAUAC